rnacentral:rRNA from 1 species
UACGUAGGGGGCAAGCGUUGUCCGGAUUCAUUGGGCGUAAAGAGCUCGUAGGCGGUUCGGUAAGUCGGGUGUGAAAUCUCCGUGCUCAACACGGAGCGGCCACCUGAUACUGCCGUGACUCGAGUCCGGUAGGGGAGUGUGGAAUUCCCGGUGUAGCGGUGAAAUGCGCAGAUAUCAGGAGGAACACCAAUUGCGAAGGCAGCUCGCUGGGACGUUACUGACGCUGAGACGCGAAAGCGUGGGGAGCAAACAGG